rnacentral:rRNA from 1 species
GAUGAACGCUGGCGGCGUGCCUAAUACAUGCAAGUCGAGCGGACGGACGGGAAGCUUGCGCCUUUGAUGUUAGCGGCUGACGGGUGGGUAACAAGUGGAUAACCAUCUUCUAAGACGGGGAUAAUUUCGGGGAACCGGAGCUGAUACUGGAGCAUAUUUUGAACCGCAUGGAUCAAAGGAUCUUGACGCCUUUGCUGUUUCUUUUAGCUGGAUCCGCGUUGCAUUAGCUAGUUGGUAAGGUAACGGCUUACCAAGGCUACGAUGCGUAGCCGACCUGAGAGGAUGAUCAGCCACACUGGAACUGAGACACGGUCCAGACUCCUACGGGAGGCAGCAGUAGGGAAUAUUGCGCAAUGGGCGAAAGCCUGACGCAGCAACGCCGCGUGAGUGAUGAAGGUCUUCGGAUCGUAAAGCUCUGUUAUUAGGGAAGAACAGAAGUGGAAGUAACUCUGCACAUCUUGACGGUACCUAAUCAGAAAGCCACGGCUAACUACGUG